CCACGCAGUCCACCCUCAGCAUCCUGGCACUGACAGAGACAUGGAUACGUCCUGAGGAUACAGCAACACCUGCUGCUCUCUCUAACAACUUCUCCUUCUCCCACACCCCUCGACAUACUGGUAGGGGUGGGGGAACAGGUCAGCUGACAAGCUUUCUUGAGGAAUUGGAUGUCCUGCUGUCCUCCUUGCCAGAGGAUGGCAGGCCACUUGUGGUUCUUGGUGAUUUCAACAUACACCAGGACAAACCCCAGGCCAUUGAACUGAAUACUCUUCUGGCCUCAUUUGACUUGGAAAGACUACACACCACAGCAACUCACAGGUCGGGCAACCAGCUGGACCUCAUUUUUACACACCAGCACGGACUACACCACCCAGCCCCUGGCUG